AUCCAAGGUGAUUCCCUCUCCCAGAGGCCUGACUAGUGCCUCUCUCAGGAAAGCAGCAACCUGGAAGAAAAUCCGGCAUGCCCAAGGGCUCUAGGACACAGGGGGACGCUGGCUUCCUUUGCCUGCCUUGGGCUGCCUACGACU